rnacentral:rRNA from 1 species
CCUACGGGUGGCUGCAGUGGGGAAUAUUGGACAAUGGGGGAAACCCUGAUCCAGCAAUGCCGCGUGGGUGAUGAAGGUCUUCGGAUUGUAAAGCCCUUUUGGCAGGGACGAUGAUGACGGUACCUGCAGAAUAAGCUCCGGCUAACUUCGUGCCAGCAGCCGCGGUAAUACGAAGGGAGCAAGCGUUGUUCGGAUUUACUGGGCGUAAAGGGCGCGUAGGCGGUUUGACAAGUUGGAAGUGAAAGCCCCGGGCUUAACUCGGGAAUAGCUUUCAAGACUGUCAGACUCGAGUGUGGAAGAGGUUGGUGGAAUUCCCAGUGUAGAGGUGAAAUUCGUAGAUAUUGGGAAGAACAUCCGUGGCGAAGGCGGCCAACUGGUCCAUAACUGACGCUGAGGCGCGAAAGCGUGGGGAGCAAACAGGAUUAGAUACCCCAGUAGUC